UUUCGUUCAUUUAUUUUAUUAUAUUUUUUUUUUUAUAAUUGGCUAAAUGGUUUAAAGAAGACAAAAAGAUGAAAUACAAAGCAAUCUUUAACAAACAUUAGUAUAUUAUAAAUUCUAAUUCUAGCUCAUUCUGGAUAAUUCUGUUUUACACAAUCUCUAAACCAAAUUAAAAUGGCAGGUCUAAAUAUAUUGCUAUCCUUUUCACGUAACUUUUAGAAUAGGAUAGCACCAGAUUUAGACUUCUCAAAAAGGACCCGGACGGGUUCGAAAGUAGUCGGCCAUAUUCCGACUGAGCGAUUACACACUAAUCCGGUCCGAAUCCGGGAAAAUACGGAUAUAAAAACUCGGACCGACUUCGGAUAUUGCUUACGCACUAAUCCAAUCUCUGAUCCAAAUCCAAGCUACCUCUAUUCAGUGGACAUCUUUGACAUAUCUACGAGUACGUCAUAUGCCAAUUUUAAUCCGAGGCACAUCCGAGAUAUUGUCGCGGAUGACCGAUGACGGAGAGAUAUCAGAUGACGGAAGUCGGAUCUAAUGCGUAAGCUGCCCUACAAAUAGUUCUAUGGUCGGAACGUAUUUUCACGGACUCGGAUCGGAUGACUACGUAACCGCCCUAAUACGUGAAUUCAAUCGUCAGACGUCAGUAUUUUAUAAUGAAUAUUACUCACGAUAGUUCAAACACUAAAAUAUAUUUAAAUCAAUCUAAUUAAGAGAUAAUUGUAUAACAGAAUUAGCCCGAAUGUGUAUUCAUAGGUGUACCAUUUGACUGAGAUGGUUCGUAGAAUAGGAUACAGGUUGUGAGAGAGUUGCAGCAAUGUUGAAAUUUUUGAUUUUUACGACACCUGUCACCCUCAAGCAAUUAAUCAUCAUUAUUACGAUUGUUGUGAUUGGUUGAAUUUAAGUUAUUCUUGUUGCAACAAUGCAUUUUAGCCAAUAGUGAGCGAGUGUUGGCCAAUCGGAGGUGAUUGCGAUCAUCACUGUAGCUGUCAUUAUUCAAUCGAGGGGCUGGGUCCUAUCUCACGAGCUGUCUCAAUGAAACGAUACUUAUACAUAAAAUUUUAUAAAUUCUAUUUUAGCAAUAAAAUAGGCCUUUAAGUGAUUUGAUAGGCCUCAAUUCCUUAAAUAAAAAAAAUCACACAACCUAAAAAAGUUGGUCUAAACUACUUAUAACUUUAAAAAAAUGGAUGUACAUAUUUUGUUUAAGUAUGUACUGCAGGUAGUGUACGUUUAAUAAGCCCUAAUGGUUCUUUAAUAGAUGAAAACCAAUUAAAAGUUACAACGCCAUUUUUUCAUUAUUUUAACUGAAAAAUACUAAUACUUACGUAUUAAAAAAUACUAGUUCAAUUCAGUGAACAUUAUGAUAACAAAAGACAAGGGAAGACAAUUUACAAUAUUUCCAUGUAUAGAUUAUAAAAAUCGUUAAUUCAUGGAAAAACAUAAAUGCAUUAUAUUAUUUAUUCAUUC